rnacentral:tRNA from 1 species
AUCUGGCUAGCUCAGUCAAAAGAGCAUGAGACUCUUGAUCUUGGGGUCAUGAGUCUGAGCCCCAUGCUGGGUA